rnacentral:rRNA from 1 species
UAGGGAAUCUUCGGCAAUGGACGAAAGUCUGACCGAGCAACGCCGCGUGAGUGAAGAAGGGUUUCGGAUCGUAAAACUCUGUUGUUAGAGAAGAACAAGGACGUUAGUAACUGAACGUCCCCUGACGGUAUCUAACCAGAAAGCCACGGCUAACUACGUGCCAGCAGCCGCGGUAAUACGUAGGUGGCAAGCGUUUUCCGGAUUUAUUGGGCGUAAAGCGAGCGCAGGCGGUUUCUUAAGUCUGAUGUGAAAGCCCCCGGCUCAACCGGGGAGGGUCAUUGGAAACUGUGAGACUUGAGUGCAGAAGAGGAGAGUGGAAUUCCAUGUGUAGCGGUGAAAUGCGUAGAUAUAUGGAGGAACACCAGUGGCGAAGUCGGUUCUCUGGUCUGUACCUGACGCUGAGGCUCGAAAGCGUGGGGAGCAAACAGG